AGAGUUUGAUCAUGGCUCAGGAUGAACGCUAGCGGCAGGCUUAAUACAUGCAAGUCGUGGGGCAGCACAGUGUAGCAAUACAUGGGUGGCGACCGGCAAACGGGUGCGGAACACGUACGCAACCUUCCUUUAACUGGAGAAUAGCCCGGGGAAACCCGGAUUAAUACUCCGUAACAUUAUGAAGUGGCAUCACUUUAUAAUUAUAGCUCCGGCGGUUGAAGAUGGGCGUGCGUCUGAUUAGGUAGUUGGCGGGGUAACGGCCCACCAAGCCUACGAUCAGUAACUGGUGUGAGAGCACGACCAGUCACACGGGCACUGAGACACGGGCCCGACUCCUACGGGAGGCAGCAGUAAGGAAUAUUGGUCAAUGGACGCAAGUCUGAACCAGCCAUGCCGCGUGGAGGAUGAAGGUCCUCUGGAUUGUAAACUUCUUUUAUUUGGGAAGAAACCACCGAUUUCUAUUGGUGUUGACGGUACCAGAUGAAUAAGCACCGGCUAACUCCGUGCCAGCAGCCGCGGUAAUACGGAGGGUGCAAGCGUUAUCCGGAUUCACUGGGUUUAAAGGGUGCGUAGGCGGAUUGGUAAGUCCGUGGUGAAAUCUCCAAGCUUAACUUGGAAACUGCCGUGGAUACUCUCAAUCUUGAAUAUAGUGGAGGUGAGCGGAAUAUGUCAUGUAGCGGUGAAAUGCUUAGAUAUGACAUAGAACACCCAUUGCGAAGGCAGCUCGCUACACUAUCAUUGACGCUGAGGCACGAAAGCGUGGGGAUCAAACAGGAUUAGAUACCCUAGUAGUCC
rnacentral:rRNA from 1 species